rnacentral:misc_RNA from 1 species
UCAAACUUGGUCAUUUAGAGGAAGUAAAAGUCGUAACAAGGUCUCCGUUGGUGAACCAGCGGAGGGAUCAUUACCGAGUUAUCAAAACUCCAAACCCUUUGUGAACCUUACCACUGUUGCCUCGGCGAGCUGCGGCUACCCCGUAGCUACCCUGCAGUUACCCUGUAACUACCCGGUAGAUACCCUGUACCGCGCUCGAGGCUCGCCGGAGGACUGCUAAACUCUGUUUUACCGAGUAUGUCUGAAUGCUUCAAAUGAAAUAAGUUAAAACUUUCAACAACGGAUCUCUUGGUUCUGGCAUCGAUGAAGAACGCAGC